GGGUGAGUAACGCGUAUGCAACCUGCCCCCGUCAGGGGAAUAGCCCGCCGAAAGGCGGAUUAAGGCCCCAUGGUCCGGGGCCCCGGCAUCGGGGUUCCGGUAAAGGCAACGGACGGGGAUGGGCAUGCGUGCCAUUAGCUAGCUGGGGGGGUAACGGCCCACCAGGGCGACGAUGGCUAGGGGAACUGAGAGGUUGGUCCCCCACACUGGUACUGAGACACGGACCAGACUCCUACGGGAGGCAGCAGUGAGGAAUAUUGGUCAAUGGGCGGAAGCCUGAACCAGCCAUGCCGCGUGCAGGAAGACGGCCCUACGGGUUGUAAACUGCUUUUCCGCGGGAAGAACGGCCCCCACGUGUGGGGGUGUGACGGUACCGCAGGAAUAAGGAUCGGCUAACUCCGUGCCAGCAGCCGCGGUAAUACGGAGGAUCCGAGCGUUAUCCGGAUUUACUGGGUUUAAAGGGUGCGUAGGCUGUUCGCUAAGUCAGCGGUGAAAUGGCGCGGCUCAACCGUGCAGCUGCCGUUGAAACUGGCGGGCUUGAGUGGGUUCGAGGCAGGCGGAAUGCGCGGUGUAGCGGUGAAAUGCAUAGAUAUCGCGCAGAACGCCAAUAGCGUAGGCAGCUUGCCAGACCCCAACUGACGCUGAGGCACGAAAGCGUGGGGAUCAAACAGGAUUAGAUACCCUGGUAGUCCACGCCGUAAACGAUGAUAGCUCGCUGUUGGCGAUACGCUGCCAGCGGCUCAGCGAAAGCGGUAAGCUAUCCACCUGGGGAGUACGGCCGC
rnacentral:rRNA from 1 species